rnacentral:rRNA from 1 species
GAUGAACGCUGGCGGCGUGCCUAAUACAUGCAAGUCGAGCGAACAGACGAGGAGCUUGCUCCUCUGACGUUAGCGGCGGACGGGUGAGUAACACGUGGAUCACCUACCUAUAAGACUGGGAUAACUUCGGGAAACCGGAGCUAAUACCGGAUAAUCUCUUGAACCGCAUGGUUCAAUAGUGAAAGACGGCUUUGCUGUCACUUCUCGAUGGAUCCGCGCCGCAUUAGCUAGUUGGUAAGGUAACGGCUUACCACGGCAACGCUGCGUAGCCGACCUGAGAGAGGGAUAGGCGACACGGGAACGGAGACAGGGACCAGACUCCUACGAGAGGCAGCAGUAGGGAAUCUGCCGCAAUGGGCGAAAGCCUGACGGAGCAACGCCGCGUGAGUGAUGAAGGUCUUCGGAUCGUAAAACUCGGUUAUUAGGGAAGAACAAAUGUGUAAGUAACUAUGCACGUCUUGACGGUACCUAAUCAGAAAGCCACGGCUAACUACGUG